rnacentral:lncRNA from 1 species
UAUGGCAUGUAAAUCUAAGAAAAGAUUGGCUAUCAGAAGGGCACCAACCAUUUUCAACAUCCUCCGGAACGAUAAAGACCACCGCAACCAGUCCAAGAGAGCAGAUGUCUAUGAGAUCCCUGUUGAAUUCCCUCCACAUGAUAGGAAGUCUUUGCAUAUAGGAGUCACAACCAGGACCCUUGCUCAGAGAGUUGAUGAGCACAAAAAGACCUUAAAGCAGGCAGAAUAACAAACUGUGUUAGCACGAGAAGCUUACAGCAAUGACAUCCGUGUCAAUUGGAACCAGGAAAAGAUUUUAAAACCUAUUAUAGCUCCGACUCAGCCAUAUAUGCAAGAGGCCUUACAAAUAGUCAUCAGUAGACGCAACUGGGACGUCAUUAAUGAUAGAGCGGCCAUCGAGUUACCGGCGGCAUGGAAGUACUUGAUAGACA